rnacentral:rRNA from 1 species
ACUCAAAUGAAUAGACGGGGAGGCGCACAAGCAGUGGAGCGUGUGGUUUAAUUCGAUACAAAGCGAAAGACCUCACCAGGACUUGACAUGUAUCUGCAAGCGCACGGAAACGUGUGACCUUCGAGGGUGAUACACAGAUGCUGCAUGGCUGUCGUCAGCUCGUGGCGUGAGCUGUUCUCUUAAGUGAGUUAACGAGCGCAACCCCCAUCAUAUGUUAAAUAUUUCAUAUGAAACUGCCCCGUAAGGGGAGGAAGGCGGGGAUGACGUCAAGUCAGCACGGCUCUUACGUCCUGGGCAACACACACCCUACAAUGGCGAAUAACAACGAGCUGCAAGCCGGUAACGGCAAGCUAAUCUCUAAAAUUUCGCCUCAGUUCAGAUUGAGGUCUGCAACCCGACCUCAUGAAGUAGGAAUUGCUAGUAAUCGCGAAUCAGCAGGUCGCGGUGAAUACGUUCUCGCCUCUUGUACACACCGCCCGU